rnacentral:rRNA from 1 species
AGCGUACAGCUCAGUAACACGUGGCUAAUCUGCCCUUGGGACCGGAACACCCCCGGGAAACUGGGGCUAAUUCUCGAUAGGUGAAGAACUCUGGAAUGAGUCUUUGCCAAAAAGACGUUUACGUUAUGCUCGUAGGCGUCGCCCAAGGAUGAGGCCGCGACCGAUCAGGUUGUUGGUGAGGUAAUGGCUCACCAAGCCUUUUACCGGUGCGGGCCGUGAGAGCGGGAGCCCGGAGAUGGGCACUGAGACAAGGGCCCAGGCCCUACGGGGCGCAGCAGUCGCGAAAACUUUGCAAUACACGAAAGUGUGACAGGGCUAUCCCGAGUGCCAUCCGCUGAGGAAGGCUUUUACCCAGUCUAGAACGCUGGGGGAAUAAAGAGAGGGCAAGUCUGGUGUCAGCCGCCGCGGUAAUACCAGCUCUUCGAGUGGUGUGGAUGUUUAUUGGGCCUAAAGCAUCCGUAGCUGGCUAAGUUAGUCCCCUGUUAAAUCCACCGAAUUAAUCGUUGGAUUGCGGGGGAUACUGCUUGGCUAGGGGACGAGAGAGGCAGACGGUAUUUCCGGGGUAGGGGUGAAAUCCUAUAAUCCCGGGAAGACCACCAGUGGCGAUGCUGUCUGCUAGAACGCGCCCGACGGUGAGGGAUGAAAGCUGGGGGAGCGAACCGGAUUAGAUACCCGGGUAGUCCCAGCUGUAAACGAUGCAGGCUAGGUGUUUGGACGGCCACGUGCCGUUCUAGUGCCGCAGGGAAGCUGUUAAGCCUGCCGCCUGGGGAGUACGAUCGCAAGAUUGAAACUUAAAGGAAUUGGCGGGGGAGCACCACAAGGGGUGAAGCUUGCGGUUUAAUUGGAGCCAACGCCGGAAAUCUCACCGGGAGCGACAGCAGUAUGAAGGCCAGAUUAAAGGUCUUGCUAGACGAGCUGAGAGGAGGUGCAUGGCCGUCGCCAGUUCGUGCCGUGAGGUGUCCUGUUAAGUCAGGCAACGAUCGAGACCCGCGUCCUCUGUUGCAACUAGCUUUGAGCUGGGCACACUGAGGAGACCGCCACUGAUAAAGUGGAGGAAGGAGCGGGCCACGGCAGGUCAGUAUGCCCCGAAUCUCCCGGGCCACACGCGAGCUGCAAUGGCAGGUACAAUGGGUUCCGACCUCGUAAGGGGAAGGCAAUCUCGAAAGCCUGCCGUAGUUGGGAUCGAGGGCUGAAACCCGCCCUCGUGAAC